GACGAACGCUUGCGGCGUGCUUAACACAUGCAAGUCGAACGGAAAGGCCCUGCUUUUGUGGGGUGCUCGAGUGGCGAACGGGUGAGUAACACGUGAGUAACCUGCCCUUGACUUUGGGAUAACUUCAGGAAACUGGGGCUAAUACCGGAUAGGAGCUCCUGCUGCAUGGUGGGGGUUGGAAAGUUUCGGCGGUUGGGGAUGGACUCGCGGCUUAUCAGCUUGUUGGUGGGGUAGUGGCUUACCAAGGCUUUGACGGGUAGCCGGCCUGAGAGGGGUGACCGGCCACAUUGGGACUGAGAUACGGCCCAGACUCCUACGGGAGGCAGCAGUGGGGAAUAUUGCACAAUGGGCGGAAGCCUGAUGCAGCAACGCCGCGUGCGGGAUGACGGCCUUCGGGUUGUAAACCGCUUUCGCCUGUGACGAAGCGUGAGUGACGGUAAUGGGUAAAGAAGCACCGGCUAACUACGUGCCAGCAGCCGCGGUGAUACGUAGGGUGCGAGCGUUGUCCGGAUUUAUUGGGCGUAAAGGGCUCGUAGGUGGUUGAUCGCGUCGGAAGUGUAAUCUUGGGGCUUAACCCUGAGCGUGCUUUCGAUACGGGUUGACUUGAGGAAGGUAGGGGAGAAUGGAAUUCCUGGUGGAGCGGUGGAAUGCGCAGAUAUCAGGAGGAACACCAGUGGCGAAGGCGGUUCUCUGGGCCUUUCCUGACGCUGAGGAGCGAAAGCGUGGGGAGCGAACAGGCUUAGAUACCCUGGUAGUCCACGCUGUAAACGGUGGGUACUAGGUGUGGGGUCCAUUCCACGGGUUCCGUGCCGUAGCUAACGCUUUAAGUACCCCGCCUGGGGAGUACGGCCGCAAGGCUAAAACUCAAAGGAAUUGACGGGGCCCCGCACAAGCGGCGGAGCAUGCGGAUUAAUUCGAUGCAACGCGUAGAACCUUACCUGGGUUUGACAUGGAUCGGGAGUGCUCAGAGAUGGGUGUGCCUCUUUUGGGGUCGGUUCACAGGUGGUGCAUGCCUGUCGUCAGCUCGUGUCGUGAGAUGUUGGGUUAAGUCCCGCAACGAGCGCAACCCUUGUUCACUGUUGCCAGCACGUUAUGGUGGGGACUCAGUGGAGACCGCCGGGGUCAACUCGGAGGAAGGUGGGGAUGACGUCAAGUCAUCAUGCCCCUUAUGUCCAGGGCUUCACGCAUGCUACAAUGGCUGGUACAGAGAGUGGCGAGCCUGUGAGGGUGAGCGAAUCUCGGAAAGCCGGUCUCAGUUCGGAUUGGGGUCUGCAACUCGACCUCAUGAAGUCGGAGUCGCUAGUAAUCGCAGAUCAGCAACGCUGCGGUGAAUACGUUCCCGGG
rnacentral:rRNA from 1 species